GUCCACUUUUAAUCACAGAUGCCCAUCAUGUGAUGGACGACACCCCCACCAUUUUCAACCUCCCGCCGCUUACCCACUCACCACGCUAGCCAGCCCAGGACGACCGAGGCCAUCUUGGUGCACUGCCCGGCCACAACCACCAUGCGAGCCCUAGCAUAUCCAUGGCCGCACGAACUGGGGACGGGAAAAGCGACAACAUAGCGGGAGAUACCCUUACCGAUGAUGAGGCCUUGACGACAUUAAUCCCGACGACGAACCGCAAGCACCGGCAUGCCCCAGCUCCACAACCCAUUAUCCUUCUUAUUUCCUCCUCUCUCUCUCUGUUACCCGCCACUUGCCUUGCUCGCGCAUGGUGACUAUUUGCCCAGCGGCUCCCGGUUUUAUAGAGGCAAGGGCGGGAUCCGCCAUGGUGGUCGGUUGAGGAGGACCCGUGCAUAUUUUUAGGAGGGUUGGUUCGUCGAGAUGGUGCUUGACAAU
rnacentral:lncRNA from 1 species